rnacentral:rRNA from 13 species
AACCGGGACGUGGCGGCGGACGGCGACGUAAGCGAGCCCAGAGACGCCGGCGGGGGGCCCCGGAAGAGGUCUCUUUUCUUUUUUACAGCCCGCCCACCCCGGAAUCGGAUUAUCCGGAGAUAAGGCCCAGCGGCUGGUAAAGCAACCCGCUUCUUGGGGUGUCUGGUGCGCCCUCGACAGCCCGUGAAAAUUUAGGG